CUUCUUGUCAUCAAUAGCAGGUGAAGGGGCCUCCUCAACCACAGGUGCAGAUGAUUCAAUCUUCACACCCUUGCCUUCCUCAGAGAUACCGCUGAUAUCACAUCAGCGUAGGUCAAACACCAGGAACAACCAAUACGUUCAGAUUGAAGUAAACCAAGACUAAGCACAUACCACAACUUAAGGAGAGCAUCAAUGUGGUUGUACCACCUAGCUACAUUCACAUAGUCUGCCGAUGGAGAUGUGGCUAAUGCACUAUAAACAGAAAUAUCAUCCUUUGAAGCUUGAUAACUGAAACAACCCAUGAAAAAAUGAGACAUCAUGAUCAGGAGAACAGAAAAUUAUCAUCAGAUGUCAAGCAUCCAAAACACG
rnacentral:lncRNA from 1 species